rnacentral:rRNA from 1 species
AGUGAACGCUGGCGGCGUGCCUAAUACAUGCGAGUCGAACGAACAGACAAGGAGCUUUUUCCUUCAACGUUAGCGACGGACGGGUGGGUAACGCGUACGUCACCUACCUCUAUGACUGGGAUAACUUCGGGAAACCGCAUCCAAUACCAGAUAAUAUUUCCAACCGCAUGGUUCGGUAGUGCAAUAUGCCUUUGGUAUCACUUAUAGACGUACCUGAGCCGUAUUAUCUAGUUGGUAAGGUAACGCCUUACCAAGGCAACGAUACGUAGCCGACCUGAGAGGGUGAUCAGCCACACUGGAACUGAGACACGGUCCAGACUCCUACGGGAGGAAGCAGUAGGGAAUCUUCCGCAAUGGGCGCAAGCAUGACGGAGCAAUGCCGCGUGAGUGAAGAAGGUCUUCGGAUCGUAAAGCUCUGUUAUUAGGGAAGAACAACAGUGUAAGAAUCUGUGCAUGUCCUGACGGUACCCAAUCAGAAAGCCCCGGCUAACUACGUG